rnacentral:rRNA from 1 species
ACGCCGCGUGAGGGACGACGGCCUUCGGGUUGUAAACCUCUUUUAGUAGGGAAGAAGCGAAAGUGACGGUACCUGCAGAAAAAGCACCGGCUAACUACGUGCCAGCAGCCGCGGUAAUACGUAGGGUGCAAGCGUUAUCCGGAAUUAUUGGGCGUCAAAGAGCUCGUAGGCGGUUUGUCGCGUCUGCUGUGAAAACUGGGGGCUCAACCCCCAGCCUGCAGUGGGUACGGGCAGACUAGAGUGCGGUAGGGGAGAUUGGAAUUCCUGGUGUAGCGGUGGAAUGCGCAGAUAUCAGGAGGAACACCGAUGGCGAAGGCAGAUCUCUGGGCCGUAACUGACGCUGAGGAGCGAAAGCAUGGGGAGCGAACAGGAUUAGAUACCCUGGUAGUCCAUGCCGUAAACGUUGGGAACUAGAUGUAGGGGCCAUUCCACGGUUUGCUGUGUCGCAGCUAACGCAUUAAGUUCCCCGCCUGGGGAGUACGGCCGCAAGGCUAAAACUCAAGAGGAAUUGACGGGGCGCCCGCAACAAGCGGCGGAGCAUGCGGAUUAAUUCGAUGCAACGCGAAGAACCUUACCAAGACUUGACAUAUAC